UAGCGCUGGAAGUCUGCCAUUAUAUCCGGGAGCAGCACCUCCUGCUAAAGUUCAGAAACCUACAAUCAGAAUUACUUUGAAGGAGUGGCUCGAAGUUCCUCAAACAUCAGUAGAGACCUAACUUGAUGGUUUUUCAUCACGUACCUUGCCAGCCUUGUUAUCUGUAAGAUGGUGUGCCGGUUUGGGUGUUCGCUCUUUCUUGCUAAAGCUGAAUAUCGUUGGUGCCACUGAAAUUUAUCCUACCAAGUACCAAAAGUAAGAUUCAAGAUACCUGUUAAUAUAAUGUACACCAUAACCACAUCCUCUAUCAACCGUAAAAUGCAUGUUCCCAUUUUACACAUGGAUUUUAGGAUUAAUGAAUAAGUAAAGAAUAACUAGUUACUGAUAUAGAGGAAUGGAGGAUGCAACUAUUGAGGAUAUUUUUAUACAAUAAUAGUUAAAAAAUGCUUUAAUACCUUGUGUCAAAAGAACAUCAAAAUUAUCCAUAGAUAUCCCCAACUUAGGACACUGAAAUGGUGUGAUGCGGAAUCCAAGAAAUCUGGUGGCUCGCAGCAUAUCAUUUCUGGGCGGCAAGCAUGUCAAGACUCACUAUACCUCGUGAAAGCCUGGAGGUUGCAAUUGCAAGGUUGAUGGAGCAGGAAUCAAUAAAAAAAAGCCUUCACAAAAUCUAAAGAACCUUGCAAAAGACGAGUAUGAGAGUAACUUUGUUUCGGCAGUAGGUUCUCCUGGCGAAAUAGGUGUCCAAUUUGAUGAUGUUGGUGCUCUUGAAGAUGUGAAGAAGGCAUUGAAUGAAUUGGUUAUUCUUCCCAUGAAAAGGCUAGAGCUUUUCUCUCGCGGAAAUUUGCUGCGGGUACUACUUUGCAUCAAAUAGUAAUUGAGUUUUGUUCUUAUGGUAACAACUUUAUUAAUAGCCUGAAGCUCUUAUUAGCCUUGCAAGGGAAUUUUUCUGUUUGGACCUCGGUAACACUCUUCUUGCCAAAGCACUUGCUACUGAGGCAAGGGCAAAUUUCAUUAGCGUGACUGGUUCAAAUCUAACAUCAAAGGUAUGAACAUUUAUGCGGACUUGAAUUUGUAUUCUUAAUUAAUAAGUUUUCCUGAUGCAUUUUCUGUAUGAAUUUGGGUUAGUUCCUGAGUUUCCAAUGAGUUAGGAGCCGGGCGCCCUAAAGCAGCACGAGCAGCAGUAUCAGUUGUUAUGUGCCUAGUGAUUAGCGAGGGCAUUUUAUAGGAACGAUACUAAUAUUGAUCCGUAAUAUUUGUUUGCCUCAUUUUCUUUUCCAGGUAUGCUAAUGAUAUGAAGAAUUUAUUUAUGUAGUCUGGGAAACACGUGAACAACAAUACUCAACAAAAACCCAUUUAGCUUCCAUUUGACUUUGUUUAC